rnacentral:rRNA from 1 species
AUUGAACGCUGGCGGCAGGCCUAACACAUGCAAGUCGAACGGUAACAGGAAGACGCUUGCUUCUUUGCUGACGAGUGGCGGACGGGUGAGUAAUGUCUGGGAAACUGCCUGAUGGAGGGGGAUAACUACUGGAAACGGUAGCUAAUACCGCAUAACGUCGCAAGACCAAAGAGGGGGACCUUCGGGCCUCUUGCCAUCGUAUGUGCCCAGAUGGGAUUAGCUAGUAGGUGGGGUAACGGCUCACCUAGGCGACGAUCCCUAGCUGGUCUGAGAGGAUGACCAGCCACACUGGAACUGAGACACGGUCCAGACUCCUACGGGAGGCAGCAGUGGGGAAUAUUGCACAAUGGGCGCAAGCCUGAUGCAGCCAUGCCGCGUGUAUGAAGAAGGCCUUCGGGUUGUAAAGUACUUUCAGCGGGGAGGAAGGGAGUAAAGUUAAUACCUUUGCUCAUUGACGUUACCCGCAGAAGAAGCACCGGCUAACUCCGUG